GGACGGGUGAGUAACACGUAGGCAACCUGCCUGUAAGACUGGGAUAACUCGUGGAAACGCGAGCUAAUACCGGAUAACACUUUUCAUCUCCUGAUGAGAAGUUGAAAGGCGGCUUUUGCUGUCACUUACAGAUGGGCUGCGGCGCAUUAGCUAGUUGGUAAGGUAACGGCUUACCAAGGCGACGAUGCGUAGCCGACCUGAGAGGGUGAUCGGCCACACUGGGACUGAGACACGGCCCAGACUCCUACGGGAGGCAGCAGUAGGGAAUCUUCCGCAAUGGACGAAAGUCUGACGGAGCAACGCCGCGUGAGUGAUGAAGGUUUUCGGAUCGUAAAACUCUGUUGUUAGGGAAGAACAAGUACUAUAGUAACUGAUAGUACCUUGACGGUACCUAACCAGAAAGCCACGGCUAACUACGUGCCAGCAGCCGCGGUAAUACGUAGGUGGCAAGCGUUGUCCGGAAUUAUUGGGCGUAAAGCGCUCGCAGGCGGUUCUUUAAGUCUGAUGUGAAAUCUUACGGCUCAACCGUAAACGUGCAUUGGAAACUGGGGAACUUGAGUGCAGAAGAGGAGAGUGGAAUUCCACGUGUAGCGGUGAAAUGCGUAGAGAUGUGGAGGAACACCAGUGGCGAAGGCGACUCUCUGGUCUGUAACUGACGCUGAGGAGCGAAAGCGUGGGG
rnacentral:rRNA from 1 species